UACGAGGGGGGCGAGCGUUGUUCGGAAUUAUUGGGCGUAAAGGGUGCGUAGGCGGUUUGGUAAGUCUGAUGUGAAAUCUAUGGGCUCAACUCAUAGUCUGCAUUAGAAACUGCCGGGCUUGAGUAUGGGAGAGGUGAGUGGAAUUCCUGGUGUAGCGGUGAAAUGCGUAGAUAUCAGGAGGAACACCUGUGGCGAAAGCGGCUCACUGGACCAUAACUGACGCUGAUGCACGAAAGCUAGGGGAGCAAACAGG
rnacentral:rRNA from 1 species